AUACGUAGGGGGCGAGCGUUGUCCGGAAUGAUUGGGCGUAAAGGGCGCGUAGGCGGCCCGGUAAGUCUGGAGUGAAAGUCCUGUUUUUAAGAUGGGAAUUGCUUUGGAUACUGUCGGGCUUGAGUGCAGGAGAGGUAAGUGGAAUUCCCAGUGUAGCGGUGAGAUGCGUAGAGAUUGGGAGGAACACCAGUGGCGAAGGCGACUUACUGGACUGUAACUGACGCUGAGGCGCGAAAGUGUGGGGAGCAAACAGGAUUAGAUACCGUGGUAGUCCACACUGUAAACGAUGAAUGCUAGGUGUAGGGGGUAUCGACCCCUUCUGUGCCGCAGUCAACACAAUAAGCAUUCCGCCUGGGGAGUACGGCCGCAAGGUUGAAACUCAAAGGAAUUGACGGGG
rnacentral:rRNA from 1 species